CGUCGGUCCUCCCGCAACGCUAAAUCGCGAACCCCGCCAGGCCCGGAAGGAGCAACGGUAGUGAUGGAUGCGUGUGCCGGGAUGUGGCUGUCGGGC
rnacentral:SRP_RNA from 1 species